UACAGAGGUCUCAAGCGUUGUUCGGAUUCAUUGGGCGUAAAGGGUGCGUAGGCGGCGCGGUAAGUAGGGUGUGAAAUCCCUCGGCUCAACCGAGGAACUGCGCUCUAAACUACCGUGCUCGAGGGAGAUAGAGGUGAGCGGAACUUAGGGUGGAACGGUGAAAUGUGUUGAUAUCCUAAGGAACACCGGUGGCGAAAGCGGCUCACUGGAUCUCUUCUGACGCUGAGGCACGAAAUCUAGGGUAGCAAACGGG
rnacentral:rRNA from 1 species